rnacentral:rRNA from 1 species
CUUCCCCGACGAAAGAGCUUUACAACCCAAGGGCCUUCUUCACUCACGCGGCAUCGCUGCAUCAGAGUUUCCUCCAUUGUGCAAGAUUCCCCACUGCUGCCUCCCGUAGGAGUUUGGGCCGUGUCUCAGUCCCAAUGUGGCUGAUCAUCCUCUCAAAUCAGCUAUUGAUCAUAGUCUUGGUAGGCCAUUACCCUACCAACAAACUAAUCAAGUGCGGGCUCAUCCAAUGGUGCAUAAAGCUUUCUCCGUAAAGACUUAUCCGGUAUUAGCACAAGUUUCCUCGUGUUAUUCCAGGCCAAAGGGUAGAUACCCACAUGUUACUCACCCGUCUGCCACUAAGUAUUGCUACUUCGUUCGACUUGCAUGUGUUAGGCGUGCCGCCAGCGUACGUUCUGAGCCAUGAUCAAACUCU